rnacentral:rRNA from 1 species
GGGGGGGCAAGUGUUCUUCGGAAUGACUGGGCGUCAAGGGCACGUAGGCGGUGAAUCGGGUUGAAAGUGAAAGUCGCCAAAAAGUGGCGGAAUGCUCUCGAAACCAAUUCACUUGAGUGGGACAGAGGAGAGUGGAAUUUCAUGUGUAGGGGUGAAAUCCGUAGAUCUACGAAGGAAGGCCAAAAGCGAAGGCAGCCCUCUGGGUCCCUACCGACGCUGGGGUGCGAAAGCAUGGGGAGCGAACAGG